CUUCGUACUAGUGCGCAGGCACGGCCCCGCCCCCGUUCCUUCGGCGCUCCGGAGGCCGAGUCCGCACGAAGAUGGCGGCGCCGCUUGUACCCCUCUCGCAGCAGAUUCCCGGUGGAAAUCCGUUAUACGAGUCUUAUUACAAGCAGGUGGACCCUGCCUACACAGGGAGAGUUGGGGCAAGCGAGGCUGCGCUGUUUCUGAAGAAAUCGGGGCUCUCAGACAUCAUCCUGGGGAAGAUAUGGGACUUGGCAGACCCCGAAGGUAAAGGGUUCUUGGACAAACAGGGUUUCUAUGUUGCACUGCGACUGGUGGCCUGUGCACAGAGUGGCCAUGAAGUCACCUUGAGCAGUCUGAGCCUCACCAUGCCACCACCAAAAUUUCAUGAUACCAGCAGCCCACUGAUGGCCACACAGUCAUCUGCAGAGACCCACUGGGCUGUGCGGGUGGAGGAGAAGGCAAAGUUUGAUGGCAUCUUUGAAAGCCUUCUACCAGUCAAUGGGCUACUCUCUGGAGACAAGGUCAAGCCGGUCCUCAUGAACUCGAAACUACCUCUGGAUGUGCUGGGCAGGGUCUGGGACCUCAGUGACAUAGACAAGGAUGGACAUUUGGACCGAGAUGAGUUUGCUGUGGCUAUGCACUUGGUGUACCGCGCCCUGGAGAAGGAACCAGUGCCCUCCAUCCUGCCCCCGCCCCUCAUCCCACCCUCUAAGAGGAAGAAGACUGUGUUUGCAGGAGCUGUGCCUGUCCUGCCUGCUAGUCCCCCACCCAAAGACAGCCUCCGCUCCACACCAUCCCACGGCAGCGUAAGCAGCCUCAACAGCACAGGCAGCCUGUCCCCGAAGCACAGCGUCAAGCAGCCACCAGUGGCCUGGGUUGUGCCUGUGGCAGAUAAGAUGCGCUUUGAUGAGAUCUUUUUGAAGACAGACCUGGACCUUGAUGGCUAUGUGAGUGGCCAGGAAGUUAAGGAGAUCUUCAUGCACUCAGGCCUCACUCAGAACCUUCUGGCACACAUCUGGGCCCUGGCUGAUACAAGACAAACGGGCAAGUUAAGCAAAGAGCAGUUCGCACUAGCUAUGUAUUUCAUUCAGCAGAAGGUCAGUAAAGGCAUCGACCCUCCUCAAGUCCUCUCGCCUGACAUGGUGCCACCCUCUGAGAGAGGCACUCCCAUUCCAGACAGUUCAAGUACUCUGGCAUCAGGAGAGUUCACUGGUGUUAAAGAGCUGGAUGACAUUAGCCAGGAGAUCGCACAGUUGCAGAGAGAGAAAUACUCAUUGGAACAAGACAUCAGAGAAAAGGAAGAGGCAAUCAGACAGAAAACCAGCGAAGUACAGGAAUUACAAAAUGACCUAGACCGGGAAACUAGUAGUCUGCAGGAGCUUGAGGCUCAGAAACAGGAUGCCCAGGACCGCCUGGAUGAGAUGGACCAGCAGAAGGCUAAGCUGCGGGACAUGCUGAGUGACGUGCGGCAGAAAUGCCAGGAUGAGACCCAGACAAUCUCAUCAUUGAAAACCCAGAUUCAGUCUCAGGAGUCAGACUUGAAGUCCCAGGAGGAUGACCUGAACAGGGCCAAGUCAGAGCUGAAUCGGCUGCAGCAAGAGGAGACACAGCUGGAGCAGAGCAUCCAGGCUGGACGUGCACAGCUGGAGACCAUCCUCAGGUCCCUGAAGUGCACACAGGAUGACAUCAACCAGGCAAGAAGCAAGCUGUCCCAGCUACAGGAGAGCCACCUAGAAGCUCACCGGAGCCUGGAACAGUAUGACCAGGUGCCUGAUGGGGUCUCUGGUACCAGCCUGCCUGACCUGGCCACCUUGAACGAAGGCAUCUUGCUGGCAGAGAGGGGCGGCUUUGGAGCUAUGGUAAAGGUCGAGUAAGAGUCUCCGGGUCCACGAGGGCUCUGCUGCAACUGUAGAUCUGCUCACAACACUGGCUCCCUCAAUGUGUCCCUUUGUUUUUGCUAGUUGUCUGCCUGCCCAGGUCCCAGGGCUGGUGGCCGAGUUCCUCUGUCAUCUAGAAGCUGUGAGGCCCAGGUGUUUCAUCUCCUCAGAAGUGUUUCUUUUGGGCCAGUCACCCAAAUGUGGAGGGCAAACCUAACCAAAGCCAGUUUGGUCCCAUGCUGUGGGAGCUCGGUGCUCUACUGAUACAGCCUUGGGUGCAAGUAUGUGUCGUUCAAGUCAAGUGAUUCUGAAAGAUGGAGAAACAGGCUCCAGCUGCAGCUUGGUAGUAAGCACUGCAGGCUCCCAGUUCCAUCACUAAGCACCACAGCACAUCUGCUCUCCAGGUUCUGUGCAGCCAGCUGUUGGCUGGCCUCUGGGAGGAAGAACCUCAGCACUGUGUGGCCACACUGCUCGUGAGCCAUUGAUGCUCCAUGCGACCCUUCUCUAAGGUUGUCAGUGCCCUUGUUGGAGUCAUCAGCCCCAACUCAGGGAGGGAUGUCUCUGUGGCCAUAAUCCGGGGUAUUAUGUAUGCUACUUUAACCUCUCGGCCGCCUCAUCUUCCAGGGCUCUCGUUGCUCCAGCCCUGCUGCUUUUCCUCUUUGUACCUUCCCUCUUGUGGUCGCCACUCGCCUUGCACUCUAAACACAGCUACCUUCCCUCUCUCUUCUCUUCUCUUUCUCAUCCAAGAACUCACAGAGAAGCCUGUUCUUUCCUUGGACCACUUAGAAGGUGCUGUUUAUAUUUCUGCCUGUCCCUCAUGUCUGCCCACCUGGAGUUCCCCUUCACUCUUAGACUUAUAAGUAGGUGGCUUCCUGCCCACAGUGGGCAUCUGUUCCAUGGAAUUCCCAUGGAAUUCCUUGCUUUUUGGCCUGUAGCCAGUGUGUGUUUCUGUCUUCUUACUGUAGUCUUUGCUUUGGCUCCAUCUCACCAUUGUCCCCUGUGCAGCUGGCUUGUCCUAUGUCCUGGGCCAGGGAAAUGCUCCCUCUAAGUCUCCCCUUGUGGAUUGUUUGGUGUUUUCUUUCUUUCUCUCUCUUUCUCUCUUUCUCUCUCUCUCUCUCUCUAUAUAUAUAUAUAUAUAUGUCUGUCUGUCUGUCUGUCUGUAUUCUUUCUUUGCUUCUCCUCUUUUUCUUUCUGCAACAGUGUCACUGUGCAACCCAGGCUGUGAUGGAACUCCAGAGAUCCCUGUUGCAGGGAUUAAAGGUGUCUAUCAGGUUCCCCUGUAGCUUUUAUCACAUCCUGGGCUGCAUCUUAGCAGUUGGUGACAGUUUACAGGUGGUGGUCAUUUCUGUCACUACCAGAACAUUUUGUACAUGGUUAUUUUUGUCCAUCGUUUAACCAGUUGGAGUUUGAGUGGUAAACUGUCAUUUGUACAGUGUAACCAUAAGAUAUAUUACCUAGAAACUUAAGACUUGUGUCCAAAGGAACCCACAUCUUGUAUUUUUAAAAAAAUGGGGGGGGGCAGUUGUUUCCAUUUCUUAAUAAACAGUUUGAAGCGAGGUCUUUGUUCAGUGUUCCAUCUGGGGCUGUGGAGCAAAGAAUGCUCCGUCCGUUCUCUUCAUGGUGUGCAGCUAGGAACUGUGCUUACCAGAAUUGUGCAGCCAAAGUGGCACCUCUGGAACUUACUACAGGUGACUCUUGAGCCACUGAGCUAAAUGUUAAGUUCCCAAGGUACAACUGCCCAAGUUCCCAAGGUACAACUGCCCAAGAGGCAAUAGGAUUCUUAUAGGCCAUGUUCACUUCCGUGUAUAUCCUUAAUUACUUUUUUCUUUUACAGUGCUGUAGGGGGAACCUGAGGCCUCACACAUGUUAGCUAGGACUCACCACUGACCUUUGCUCCCAGCCCAAAAUCAUGUUUAUUUCUUGUGACUGAUAGAAGCCUCUUCCUACCCAGGAAGCCUACACAGCAGAGAGAAAGCCGUGCACCAUCCCAGCUUAUCACUCUGACUUACCAGGACAGAUUAGAUACUUGACCACUUCUAGUUCCAGUAGCAUGGAAGAGCCAAGGUUAUGGGCUCCCAGCAAGCAUUUGUAAAUGAGAGCCUCUUAGCUGGCAGCUUGAGCUAGGACAAAAAUUUACUUCAGGACAAUUGGUGGGAGCACCAGCAUUGGGCCUCUACACAACACAGUUCAUUUUGAUUAUGUUUUUGAGACAAGGUCUCAUGGUGUAGCCAUAGCUGUCCUGGAACUCGUAAAUGAAGACUAGACUGCCCUUGGGCUUACAGAGAUCUAUCUGGCUCUGUCUCCAAGUGCAGAGAUGAAAAGGCAUGCAUCCCAUGACCAACUCCCAGCACUCUGUAAAAGCCAGGAAUGUCACAGAAACUUCUUGAGUAUCCUUUGUGGCCAUGUCUAUAUUCUGAAAACAGGCAGAGCUUAGGACUAGCUGUUUUGCCUUUGAAAAUGUUUUCUGUAGCUGGGUGUGGCACAGCAGUGGGAGGCCCUGGGUCCUGUCCUUCAUGCAAUACAAGUUAAUAAUUAAAUAAAAGUAGUUGCUGGGCGGUGGUGGCGCGUGCCUUUAAUCCCAGCACUUGGGAGGCAGAGGCGGGUGGAUUUCUAAGUUCGAGGCCAGCCUGGUCUACAAAGUGAGUUCCAGGACAGCCAGGGCUACACAGAGAAACACUGUCUGGGGGGGAAAAAAAGUAGUUAACAUGUUCUACCUCUAUGAUGGUACUCAUUGCUCGCCCUAGUGUAAUAUCUCCCCUUAUACCAUGCUCAGUCACCGAGCAACCACGUGAUUCAGUGCACUAAAAAGAUGCCAUCUACUAGUAACAUUGUAGGUUAUAAGUUCAUCAACUUGUCUGCAUGGUGACAGAAUGGGUCUUCUGUGCUGAAGAACCAUAGGCCUAUACUUAACCCUUAUAUUUCUGUCCCCUAGGGUGAUAUGUUCUUCAUUUUCCUGGCUGGUGGCUGACUGUAUUCAUGUUUGGAGGGCAGGGGGCUCUUUUCAGCUUCAAGUCUGGCACAGGCUGUCCCCUUUUUUCCUUACUUCUAAUGUGAGUCCUGCCAGGGCCUUGGCUGCAGUGCUGAGCUGCGUGCAUGCUUAGUCAGUCUUUGCCACUCAGCUACACCCAGCUAUUUUAUGGCCCCUUAGGGGAAGGAGCCACAGCUGCAUGAAAUGUAGAUUUCUCCUGACGUUAUGGUGUAGGCCCUAACAUUCCACGUACUGGACUGGUAGUAUAGUUCCCAGACACAUUUGUGCUAUUGAAAUCUAUUUACUCACUGUCUUCCCCUCAGUGAUAGAAACACCAGAUUGUCAGUAAACUGGCCCUGUCCAUCAACAGCCCUUUAGUGCUCACUGUGAGCUUCCUUUCUAAGACUGAGCUGUUGUGGCUAACUCCAUCCUUCUUCCCGCUAUCUUUAGAACACAGUCCAUUCCUUGCCCAGGGCUAGUACAAGAAGGUUGUCUUUUGCCUGGCCCAGGGUUUCCUUAGGUCAUAACCUUCUUCCAGUGUCUCUCUGUUCUUGAACCCCGACAGCUGUGUGUGCUUCCUUUGUCCACAGUAUGGCAGAAGGGGUUAUUUCCUGCCCCAGUGCAUGGGCUUCCUUUGGUCAGAUUCUCCCAUUGAGGUUCUCCCUGUCCUUGAACUCCAGCAGCUGCACUAGGGUGUGUCCAUCUCGGGCCUGGCCGUACCCAAGCGUCGUCAGCAGCUGCUGUGCUAGCUGCAUCUGUGUUUAACCUCCCUGAGCACCAGGCCUGGCUUCCCUAGGAAGGCCUGUGCCCAGAAGCUCUGAAGAAUUGGUUCCAGGUAAGAAGAUGGCCCACCCACUUCUUCAUUUACUCACAGCCCAAGUCAGUGACUACUGCUUAUUAUUAUUUUUUUAAUCUUUAUUUUUUUCAUUUCCUGAGAAUGACUCUUGCUGUGUGGCUAUGCUGGCCAGGACCUAUUGAUCCUCCUGCCUUGGGCUUCCCAGAACCAGAGUAGCAAGUGUGCUUCCUGUUCCCAUCUGGUGGCUUCCUCUUAACACUUCUUCCCCUGCCCCCAGGUUUCAUAGAAUUUUGGACUUAUUUUUGGGUUUAAUAGCCUUUUAGAGUAUUCAUGUCAUUUUUCUGAACCUUUGUCUACUUUCACAGAUGCCCCAGCUUUGACAUGACUUGAUCAUUGAGCUCCUGCCUUUAAAAACAAACACACACACAGUUAAAUAGCCCAGUUUUGUGGAGGAUUGUGUCUCUUAAGCAGAACAGAUCCCUGAUUUCUCAGCCCAUCAUUCUGUUUGCAGGGUUCACCCACCCCUCAGGUCAUUCCCACUAUGGAAAAGCACUCUUCAAAAAUGUUGUGGAUUUUUUUUUCCUACUGCUUUGAGUACACUUGCCAGCUUCUAGAACUGAGUACCUUUAUGCAAACAUGCAGAGUGUCUUGCAUGCUUUAGCAGCUCCCACUACACCAGUGUCACCUUAAGCCCCACUUCCUACUUGGGCAGAAACGGCCCACUUGGUUUUUUACAUAGAACCGUGGGGUGGGGGUUGCUCCCAGCCCUUGGCUAGGCUCUGGCCCCAUCAUUCUGCCUCUGUGAACGUGGCGACCUAAGGGUGUGCGCGGGACCACACCACGUCUAUCGCUGUCACUGACCUCUUAUUUCACUUAGCUGCAAAUCCUUAAAGCUUCUCCAUUUACAGUAGAGUGUCCUUCCUUUUCAGGGCUGAGUAUUAUUUCACUUCACGGGUGGGUAGGUUCCAUCUAUCUACUUAUUCAUUCCGCUCAGAGACUUGAUUAGAGUCACUUUAGAUUUCCUGAAAAAUUGCAAAGCUGUGAUGCUUGUCUCCAUGUGCCAUGCCUGGUCUCCACUUUUACCUUAGCAAAUAGACCAAUGUCCAGGCUUGUUUGUAGCCAAAAUCUCCACCUGGGUGACUCCCCUUCAGAUACUGUUCUGGGUCACAUUGCAAACAGUGCAGAUCUGAGUUAGGUGUGAAAUCCUGCACUUUGCUUAAAUCAGAAAUAACUCAGCACCUGUCCUUUCCUCACCAUCCUAGGAUGAUCCUUUCAAAAACAAAGCCUUAUUGUUUAGCAACAACUCCCAGGAACUUCAUCCAGACCCCUUCCAGGCUGAGGACCCCUUCAAGUCCGACCCAUUUAAAGGAGCUGACCCCUUCAAAGGUGAUCCUUUCCAAAGUGAUCCCUUCUCAGAGCAGCAGACAGCAGCUACAGGUAAAGGCUGGCUUCCACAGACCCAUUUGGAGGGGAUCCUUUCAAAGAAAGUGACCCAUUCCACAGCUCAAGCAGUGAUGACUUCUUCAAGAAACAGACAAAGAAUGACCCAUUUACCUCAGACCCCUUCACAAAGAACCCUUCCUUACCUUCAAAGCUCGACCCAUUUGAGUCCAGUGAUCCUUUUUCAUCCUCCAGCAUCUCCUCGAAAGGUUCAGAUCCCUUUGGAACCCUAGACCCCUUUGGAAGCAGCUCCUUCAGCAGUGCCGAGGGCUUCGCUGACUUCAGUCAGAUGUCCAAGGUCAGAGUACACCUGUAAGCCAGCUGGGUUCUUCAGACUUCCCUGAGUCCCCUGAUCCAUUCCAGCCACUCGGGGCUGACAGCGGCGACCCGUUCCAAAAUAAAAAGGGGUUUGGGGACCCAUUUAGUGGCAAAGAUCCAUUUGCCCCUUCCUCUUCAGCUAAACCUCCUAAGACCUCUUCCUCCGGCUUUGCCGACUUCACCUCUUUUGGCAAUGAGGAGCAGCAAUUGGCUUGGGCCAAGCGGGAGAGUGAAAAAGCGGAGCAAGAGCGGCUGGCGAGGCUGCGGCGACAGGAACAGGAGGACCUGGAACUGGCCAUCGCCCUCAGCAAGGCUGAUAUGCCAGCCUAGGUGACACAGGGGAAGCCGCAGCUGUAUGUACACAUCCCUUCAAGUUGUGCCAUGCCACAGCCAAGGACAGCUGGCCACAGGGCCUCAGGCUACAGGGACCUUGUUGAGAGGCCUCAGACACUGCUCACCCCUGUGGGUGGGCCAGGAAGGCAGCUAUAGGUAAAAGUCCUGGAACCUGCCAGUCUCUGAGGUAUGAUGGUGAUCAGUUAGGCUCUUCCUUCCAAUCAUUCAGUGGCUGACAGAGAAGGCCUCCAGUCUCCUAGCUGCAGACAAGCUCCACCCCCAGCCCUUCCUUGCAUCCACAAGACACCCCACACACAUGAUGUAUGCAUUCGUUGUAUAAAAAUGAAGUUUGAAUGAUUAAUAUAAAAUAUUUUAAUACAAAA